CAGCCGCCGCGGGAAUACGGAGGGUGCAAGCGUUAAUCGGAAUUACUGGGCGUAAAGCGCACGCAGGCGGUUUGUUAAGUCAGAUGUGAAAUCCCCGGGCUUAACUUGGGAACUGCAUUUGAAACUGGCAAGCUAGAGUCUUGUAGAGGGGGGUAGAAUUCCAGGUGUAGCGGUGAAAUGCGUAGAGAUCUGGAGGAAUACCGGUGGCGAAGGCGGCCCCCUGGACAAAGACUGACGCUCAGGUGCGAAAGCGUGGGGAGCAAACAGGAUUAGAUACCCCUGUAGUCCCUGUCUCUUAUAC
rnacentral:rRNA from 1 species